ACACUCACCUGGCAGAGAAGACACCAUGAUCACAAAAGUCUUUUUCCCAGAGCGAAGGUCAUCUCUUGUAUUCCAGAUGUGUUGAUCCCUGUGAUUUCCCCACAUGUGGAAAAGUUGACUUGAUAAUUUGUAGUAGUGAAGGACUGUAUUUGCUGUCUCCCC